rnacentral:rRNA from 1 species
AUUGAACGCUGGCGGCAGGCCUAACACAUGCAAGUCGAACGAGUGGCGGACGGGUGAGUAAUGUCUGGGAAACUGCCUGAUGGCGGGGGAUAACUACGGGAAACGGUAGCUAAUACCGCAUACCAUCAAAUGAGCCCAGAUGGGAGUAGCUUGUUGGUGGGGUAACGGCUCACCAAGGCGACGAUCCCUAGCUGGUCUGAGAGGAUGACCGGCCACACUGGAACUGAGAAACGGGCCAGACUCUUACGGGAGGCAGCAGUGGGGAAGAUUGCACAAGGGGCGCAAGCCUGAUGCAGCCAGGCCGCGUGUAUGAAGAAGGCCUUCGGUUUGUAAAGUACUUUCAGCGGGGAGGCGUUACCCGCAGAAGAAGCACCGGCUAACUCCGUGCCAGCAGCCGCGGUAAUUC